rnacentral:lncRNA from 1 species
GGGAGCAAGAGAGAGAGAGAGCCGUCGGGUCGCCCCGCCCUGCGAAUCCUUUUGUGGCGCUGGCCCGGCCUUGUUCGCGCGGCCUGACUUGAGCCAUCCUCCGACCCGUAGCGGAGGAGGCCUCCCGCCCUGGGGGUGCCAUGGAGCGAUGGAAGAGAAAGGCUGUUUACUCAGAGCGCUGCUUGGGAGGGGGCUCGCGCGCAGGAGAGAAGUCUGCGGCCUUCCCUGUCGUUCCAGAAGUUGUGAUUGUACUCUGCUGACGACUUGCGUAUCUUUUCAGCUCAGACUUCUCUCCCCGACUUCAAACUCCUGAAAACUUAACAAACUUAACGUGACCAGAACAUGAACUUCUGCUUCCUCCCCUCUCUCCCUACGCCCAUCCCACCUCCAAAUCCGACCUGCGCCUCCCGAAGUCUUCCCUGCCUCAGUCCAUGGCAAUAUCUUCCCUUUUGCUUAGGACCCAAGCCUUGGUGUUAUUCUUGAAUCCUCUUUCUUUUACUUUCUCUUACUUCCAAAUCAUCAAGAAACCCGCUCUGCUGAAUCCUGGUUCAAGGCACCAUCGUGUCUUCUCCUGACUUCUGCGCUGGCCUCUUUCCUGGUCUCCCUGCUUCUACUCUUGCCGCUCAGCAUCCAUCCUAAAUGCAGCAGAGUGAUGCUAUUAGAAAACCUGAGACACCGCUCUUAAGCUCACAACCUUCUGAGAGCCCCUUCUUGUUCUCAGAGCAAAGGCCAAAAUCCCACCAGAUGCCCCCACAUUUCUUCUUUGAUCUCAUCUGCUAGUACCCUAACACUGCUCAGUGCUUAAACUUCUAAGCUUGCUCUUGAUUCAAGUCUUCUGUGCUGGUCCUAACUUCUGCCUGGAGUACUGGCCCCCUAGAUAGAUACUUGGCAGAUUUCAAGUUUUCACUCAAAUGUCACCUACUCAGUGAGGCCUACCCUGACUGCCCCGUUGGAAGUUGCUCACACACUCUUUGUGUACCCAGGUGGUUCUUGAUCUACUCUCUUUUUUCCCUAGCAUUUAUCACCUAAUAUUUAUCUUUUUUUUUUUUUG